UGCUCAGUAGUUCAGCGGUAGAAUGUCUGACUGUUAAUCAGAGGGUCGUUGGUUCGAAUCCAACCUGAGCAG
rfam:Lactobacillus saniviri JCM 17471 = DSM 24301 NODE_32, whole genome shotgun sequence.